UGCGUAGGCGGGGCAAUUAGUCAGUGGUGAAAUACUGCGGCUUAACCGUAGAACUGCCAUUGAUACUGUUGCCCUUGAGUAUAGUUGAAGUGGGCGGAAUGUGUAAUGUAGCGGUGAAAUGCAUAGAGAUUACACAGAACACCAAUUGCGAAGGCAGCUCACUAAGCUAAAACUGACGCUGAGGCACGAAAGCGUGGGGAGCGAACAGGAUUAGAUACCCUGGUAGUCC
rnacentral:rRNA from 1 species